CCCCUUUCUUUUAGCCCAGAAGCUACUGUCCAGACUUUGGACUUGGUUUUUCAUGGACUUGAUCCAUUUUCAUUCUUGUAUAUCAAUAGCUCUUUUUGCUGUGUUUUUCUGUAUACCACCGUGUAUACUCUGUAUAUCAGCGUAGAAAUCAACAUAUUUUCUUCCACUCCUCCUAUAUACAAUAUAAUGGUGUAUAUCAGCUGUUUCCUAGUUCAUAUCAGCUGUAUUUCAGUGUAUACCAGCUUGUAUACUAGUGUUGACUUGUGUAUAUCAGUCCUAUUUUGGACUUUUAAUGAAACUUGAC
rnacentral:lncRNA from 1 species